CCUACGGGUGGCUGCAGUGAGGAAUAUUGGUCAAUGGACGAGAGUCUGAACCAGCCAAGUAGCGUGAAGGAUGACUGCCCUAUGGGUUGUAAACUUCUUUUAUAUGGGAAUAAAAUGUUCCACGUGUGGGAUUUUGUAUGUACCAUAUGAAUAAGGAUCGGCUAACUCCGUGCCAGCAGCCGCGGUAAUACGGAGGAUCCGAGCGUUAUCCGGAUUUAUUGGGUUUAAAGGGAGCGUAGGUGGAUGGUUAAGUCAGUUGUGAAAGUUUGCGGCUCAACCGUAAAAUUGCAGUUGAAACUGGCAGUCUUGAGUACAGUAGCGGUGGGCGGAAUUCGUGGUGUAGCGGUGAAAUGCUUAGAUAUCACGAAGAACUCCGAUUGCGAAGGCAGUUCACUGGACUGCAACUGACACUGAGGCUCGAAAGUGUGGGUAUCAAACAGGAUUAGAUACCCGUGUAGUC
rnacentral:rRNA from 1 species